AGCUACAGGCUUAACACAUGCAAGUCGAGGGGCAUCAGGAAGAAAGCUUGCUUUCUUUGCUGGCGACCGGCGCACGGGUGAGUAACACGUAUCCAACCUGCCCUUUACUCGGGGAUAGCCUUUCGAAAGAAAGAUUAAUACCCGAUAGUAUAAUGAUUCCGCAUGGUUUCAUUAUUAAAGGAUUCCGGUAAAGGAUGGGGAUGCGUUCCAUUAGGUUGUUGGUGAGGUAACGGCUCACCAAGCCUUCGAUGGAUAGGGGUUCUGAGAGGAAGGUCCCCCACAUUGGAACUGAGACACGGUCCAAACUCCUACGGGAGGCAGCAGUGAGGAAUAUUGGUCAAUGGGCGCUAGCCUGAACCAGCCAAGUAGCGUGAAGGAUGAAGGCUCUAUGGGUCGUAAACUUCUUUUAUAUAAGAAUAAAGUGCAGUAUGUAUACUGUUUUGUAUGUAUUAUAUGAAUAAGGAUCGGCUAACUCCGUGCCAGCAGCCGCGGUAAUACGGAGGAUCCGAGCGUUAUCCGGAUUUAUUGGGUUUAAAGGGAGCGUAGGUGGACUGGUAAGUCAGUUGUGAAAGUUUGCGGCUCAACCGUAAAAUUGCAGUUGAUACUGUCAGUCUUGAGUACAGUAGGGGUGGGCGGAAUUCGUGGUGUAGCGGUGAAAUGCUUAGAUAUCACGAAGAACUCCGAUUGCGAAGGCAGCUCACUGGACUGCAACUGACACUGAUGCUCGAAAGUGUGGGUAUCAAACAGGAUUAGAUACCCUGGUAGUCCACACAGUAAACGAUGAAUACUCGCUGUUUGCGAUAUACAGUAAGCGGCCAAGCGAAAGCAUUAAGUAUCCCACCUGGGGAGUACGCCGGCAACGGUGAAACUCAAAGGAAUUGACGGGGGCCCGCACAAGCGGAGGAACAUGUGGUUUAAUUCGAUGAUACGCGAGGAACCUUACCCGGGCUUAAAUUGCAGUGGAAUGAUGUGGAAACAUGUCAGUGAGCAAUCACCGCUGUGAAGGUGCUGCAUGGUUGUCGUCAGCUCGUGCCGUGAGGUGUCGGCUUAAGUGCCAUAACGAGCGCAACCCUUAUCUUCAGUUACUAACAGGUCAUGCUGAGGACUCUGGAGAGACUGCCGUCGUAAGAUGUGAGGAAGGUGGGGAUGACGUCAAAUCAGCACGGCCCUUACGUCCGGGGCUACACACGUGUUACAAUGGGGGGUACAGAAGGCAGCUAGCGGGUGACCGUAUGCUAAUCCCAAAAGCCUCUCUCAGUUCGGAUCGAAGUCUGCAACCCGACUUCGUGAAGCUGGAUUCGCUAGUAAUCGCGCAUCAGCCACGGCGCGGUGAAUACGUUCCCGGGCCUUGUACACACCGCCCGUCAAGCCAUGGGAGCCGGGGGUACCUGAAGUACGUAACCGCAAGGAUCGUCCUAGGGUAAAACUGGUGACUGGGGCU
rnacentral:rRNA from 1 species